rnacentral:misc_RNA from 1 species
CCCGGGCUGUGCUUUACGUUCGCGGUACGGGAAUAAUUCAAUAAUCCGCCAACAUUUUUAUUCCGCGCUCGGAUUUAAUAAACCGGCAAAAUAGAUUUUAUUAUUUGCAAUCACCAUCGUGGGCCGGCUCUCGUUAGCUAGUUUUAAUCUCGCGCGCGGUCGCCGCGGAAUUCUCGCGCCCUCAGAACGCCGCUUAACGACGUUAAAAUGCCACUUGGUACUUACAAUGGAGUCCUGUUUACCCUUCCACUCGCUUACCGUCCUACGGAAGGAACCUUAAUGGAUGACGAUUACUUUCGAAGUUUGAACCCUCUGGCUAGUUCCAAGCCCUUCUGAAUCGAGCGGAAAUGCAGCUGGUGAACGCAGCGAGUGAAGAACGGAC